ACUCAUUCACAUAUGGCCCCAUGAAACAUGAAUAAAAAUGUAUCUGUUCUUAUCAGCUUAAUAUCUGAUACGGAUCCUAUUUGGAUCCAAGAUAUUAAACUUAUUUUUGCAAUGCGGCGGAGUGCUUGAAGCUUGCUUCACCUCCGCCACGGGUUGGCCCGGUAUUGCACUACCUCCGGGAUCGGCCCACUCACC
rnacentral:snRNA from 1 species